UACAGAGGGUGCGAGCGUUGUCCGGAAUCACUGGGCGUAAAGGGCGCGUAGGCGGCUUUUCAAGCGUGCGGUGAAAGCUCGGGGCUUAACUCCGAGUCUGCCGUGCGAACUGGGAGGCUUGAGUCUGGUAGAGGUCGAUGGAAUUCCGGGUGUAGCGGUGGAAUGCGUAGAGAUCCGGAAGAACACCGGUGGCGAAGGCGGUCGACUGGGCCAGUACUGACGCUGGGGCGCGACAGCGUGGGGAGCAAACAGG
rnacentral:rRNA from 1 species